rnacentral:rRNA from 1 species
CCUGUCGGUGUAACUGGCAUGUCGCGGCAUGUCCUGUCGGUGGUGAACGGGAUUCCCGGUACUGUUUAGACUUAACUGUCGAAGCAUGUACCGUGUGUUUUUCCGUUUGCCGAUCUCUCCUACUCCGGUGCUCUUAAACGAGUGUCGAGGUAGGCCGACACGUUCACUUUGAACAAAUUAGAGUGCUUAAAGCAGGCUGAAAUAUCUGCCUGAAUAGUGGUGCAUGGAAUGAUAAAACAGGACCUCGGUUCUAUUUUGUUGGUUUUAGGAAUAUGAGGUAAUGAUCAAUGUGGACUGGCGGGGGCAUUCGUAUUGCGACGUUAGAGGUGAAAUUCUUGGAUCGUCGCAAGACGCACUAGAGCGAAAGCAUUUGCCAAGUAUGUCUUAAUUGAUCAAGAACGAAAGUUAGAGGUUCGAAGGCGAUCAGAUACCGCCCUAGUUCUAACCAUAAACGAUGCCAGCCAGCGAU